rnacentral:rRNA from 1 species
AACGGAGGGGGCUAGCAUUAUUCGGAAUUACUGGGCGUAAAGCGCGCGUAGGCGGUCCUGUUAGUCGAAUGUGAAAGCCCUCGGCUCAACCGAGGAACUGCGUUCGAUACUGCAGGGCUUGAGUCCGGUAGGGGAUGGCAGAAUUCCCGGUGUAGCGGUGGAAUGCGUAGAUAUCGGGAGGAAUACCGAUGGCGAAGGCGGCCAUCUGGGCCGGAACUGACGCUGAGGCGCGAAAGCUAGGGGAGCAAACAGG